rnacentral:lncRNA from 1 species
CACAGUUCCAGAGACACUACCUGUUGAUGGACUAAAUCUCUACGAUCCCAUGCGGUCUUCACAAAUACAAGCUAAUAGCUGCACAACGCCUGGUGGUUAUCCAUUCCUCACUGGCUGUAAAAAGACAAUCGUCUCAGACACGAUUGAGAGAACUGACCUUUCAUGAUUGGCAGAAAACAAGGUUUGAAGUCCCUGGAUCAGCAAUACCAGAAACCCAAGCACACCAAUCAUGUCACGAUCCAGGCACCUGGUGAGCCUAAUUCUGCUGUCGAAAGGAAAAAAUAUAUAGAUUACAGGUUUUCAAAUCAAUGCAGGAGGUUUGUGAGCAGCACCGCUUUCAAAAAUAGAACAGAACAAUGCGGGCACUGCAGACUGGAAUCAGCCGUUUUCCCAGGAGCCAGCUUCUGAGGGGCAAGACACCAGCCACAGGCCACGAGCCUUACGCAUUUUCCCAUGAACUUCUGGAAGACCCUGCUUAGCUCUCUGGGCCAACUCCUCCACUCGGGCCCCUCCUCACGGCCCUCUCUCAGGACCAUCGCGGCCGUCUCUCCAGGAAUCUUGAAAGCUUUCCCUGGAGGACCCCAGCACAGGCCUGGCCUUGGGGACUCAGCCAUGAUACAUAAUUUCCUCUCGGAGCCUGCCUGUGCAGGAAGUGGGGGUGCAACCAUGAGCCAAAGACAGCUUCCUAAGAGCUUGCCUAUGUGUCUGGGAGCCAGCACCAAGACUGUGGUUCUAGACACACACCAUAUCACAGUCUUGAGAAAUCCAGAUGCCACAGCCGCAUCCACAGCCUUAGGUAAGGCUUCCAGAGGAAGUGAGAGUUUGAGAUCUUGAGGAGGAGUGGAAAGUAACUAAUCAAGGGAGCUGGGGAGACAGACAGGAGGGAAAAUCUCCCCCCAGCAACACAGCAGCCGGCACAACAGGGAAAGGAGGACAACCUGGCGGCUGGAGCGCACCCAGCAGAAGGAGGGUGGUGGAGGAGACAGCUGGAGAGGGCUGGGCCCCAUGGGGCAGGACCUGGUGGGCAUGUUCUGUGUCUUUGUUGGCAUCUCAAUGGCAGUGGGAGGUACGCCACUGCCGGGUGACGAGAUUGCGUUUGUAUUGACCAGUGUGGAGC